rnacentral:lncRNA from 1 species
CUGUAACUUUAGUCUAGGCUCUGGCUAUACGGCAUUGUGACAUAUCACUGCACUGAUCACCCAGGUGAUAUAACUCUUCUCUAGGAUUUGCCUACAGGGUGCUUUGUGACAUAUCCCUGCAAUGAUCACCCAGGUGAUGUACCACUUGUCAAAGCUCUGCCUACAGGGACAUUGCGAUGUAUCUCUGCACUGAUCACCUAGGUCAUGUAACCGUUGUCUAGGCUCUGCCUACAGUGGCAUUGUGACAUAUCUCUGCACUGAUCACCCGAGUGAUGUAACUCUUCUCCAGGAUCUGCCUAACGGGACUUUGUGACAUAACUCUGCACUGAUCAUCCAGGUGAUGGGGCUUUUGUCUAGGAUCUGCCUAAGGGGGCAUUGUGACAUAUUUCUGCACUGAUCACCCAGGUGAUGGACUCUUGUCUUGGAUCUGCCUAUGGGGGCAUUGUGACAUAUCUCUGCACUGAUCACCCAGGUGAUGUAACUGUUGUAUAAGCUCUGCCUACAGGGUAAUUGUGAGAGAUCUCGCCACUGAUCAACCAACUGUUGUAACUAUUGUCUAGGCUUUGCCUACAGGGGGCUUUGUGACAUACCUUUGCACUGAUAACCCAGGUGAUAUAACUCAUCCAAGUUCUGCCUACAGGAGCUUUGUGACAUAUCUCUGCACUGAUCACUUAGGUGAUGUAACACUUUUAUAAGCACUGCCUACAGGGAAUUUUGACAAAUCUCUGCACUGAUCACCUAGGUGAUGUAACUCUUGUCUACCCUCUGCCCAAAGGGGGCACUGUGAAAUAUCUCUGCACAAAAUCACCCAGGUGAUUCAACUCUUGUCUAGGUUCUGCCUACAGUGGGUGUUGUGAAAUAUCUCUGCACUGAUGAACUA